GACGAACGCUGGCGGCGUGCUUAACACAUGCAAGUCGAACGGAAAGGCCCUGCUUUUGUGGGGUGCUCGAGUGGCGAACGGGUGAGUAACACGUGAGUAACCUGCCCUUGACUUUGGGAUAACUUCAGGAAACUGGGGCUAAUACCGGAUAGGAGCUCCUGCUGCAUGGUGGGGGUUGGAAAGUUUCGGCGGGUGGGGAUGGACUCGCGGCUUAUCAGCUUGUUGGUGGGGUGGUGGCUGACCAAGGCUUUGACGGGUAGCCCGCCUGAGAGGGUGACCGGCCACAUUGGGACUGAGAUACGGACCAGACUCCUACGGGAGGCAGCAGUGGGGAAUAUUGCACAAUGGGCGGAAGCCUGAUGCAGCAACGCCGCGUGCGUGAUGCCGGCCUUCGGGUUGUAAACCGCUUUCGCCUGUGACGACGCGUGAGUGACGGUAAUGGGUAAAGAAGCACCGGCUAACUACGUG
rnacentral:rRNA from 1 species